rnacentral:rRNA from 1 species
AGUGAACGCUGGCGGCGUGCUUAACACAUGCAAGUCGAACGAGAACGGAUUAUAGCUUGCUAUAAUUGUCAGCUAAGUGGCGCACGGGUGAGUAAUGUAUAGGUAAUAUGCCUCUUACUAAGGGAUAACAAAUGGAAACGUUUGCUAAUACCUUAUACUCCUUAUUAACAGAAGUUAAUAAGGGAAAGAUUUAUUGGUAAGAGAUUAGCCUGUAUUGUAUCAGUUAGUUGGUGGGGUAAUGGCUUACCAAGACUAUGACACAUAACUGGUUUGAGAGGAUGAUCAGGCACACUAGAACUGAGACACGGUACAGACUCCUACGGGAGGCAGCAGUGGGGAAUAUUGCACAAUGGACGAAAGUCUGAUGCAGCAACGCCGCGUGGAGGAUGACACAUUUCGGUGCGUAAACUCCUUUUAUAUGAGAAGAUAAUGACGGUAUUAUAUGAAUAAGCACCGGCUAACUCCGUGCCAGCCGCCGCGGUAA